rnacentral:rRNA from 1 species
UACGUAGGGGGACGAGCGUUGUCCGGAUUCAUUGGGCGUAAAGCGCGUGUAGGCGGCUAGGUAAGUCUGCUCUGAAAGCCCGGGGCUCAACCCCGGGAGGCGGGUGGAUACUGUCUAGCUCGAGUCCGGAAGAGGAGUGUGGAAUUCCUGGUGUAGCGGUGAAAUGCGCAGAUAUCAGGAGGAACACCAAUGGCGAAGGCAGCACUCUGGGACGUGACUGACGCUGAGACGCGAAAGCGUGGGGAGCAAACAGG